CAAUAGCGUAUAUUAAAGCUGUUGCGGUUAAAAAGCUCGUAGUUGGAUUUCUGUCAAGUACAACUGGUCCGCCCUCCGGGUGAGCACAUAGUUUGGUCUUGGCAUCUUGCUGGAAAUUGUUGCUGCACUUGGCUGUGUGGCGCAGUGUCCAGCACUUUCACUUUGAGGAAAUUGGAGUGUUUCAAGCAGGCAAUGCCUUUGAACACAGUAGCAUGGAAUAAUUAGAUUGGGCUUUUGCUCCAAUUUGUCGGUUUCUGGAGCUGAGGUGAGAAUUAAUGGGGAUUGUUGGGGGCAUCCGAAUUUAGCCGUCAGAGGUGAAAUUCUUGGAUCGGCUAAAGACGGACAACUGCGAAAGCGUCUGCCCAGGAUGUUUUCAUUG
rnacentral:rRNA from 1 species